rnacentral:rRNA from 1 species
CCUACGGGAGGCAGCAGUGAGGAAUAUUGGUCAAUGGCCGGAAGGCUGAACCAGCCAUGCCGCGUGAAGGUCAGUGCCCUAUGGGCGUUAAACUUCUUUUGUGCGGGAGCAAUAAUGGUCACGUGUGGCCAGACGAGAGUACCGUACGAAUAAGCAUCGGCUAACUCCGUGCCAGCAGCCGCGGUAAUACGGGGGGUGCAAGCGUGAUCCGGAUUUAUUGGGGUUAAAGGGUGCGUAGGCUGUGAGGUAAGUCAGCGGUGAAAUGCCCCCGUUCAACGGGGUGAAGUGCCAUUGAUACUGCCUUGCUGGAAUGCGGAUGCCGUGGGAGGAAUGUGUGGUGUAGCGGUGAAAUGCAUAGAUAUCACACAGAACACCGAUUGCGAAGGCAUCUCACGAAUCCGCGAUUGACGCUGAUGCACGAAAGCGUGGGUAUCAAACAGGAUUAGAUACCCGUGUAGUC